rnacentral:lncRNA from 1 species
AGGUGACAUCUUAACCAGUUCUAAUAGAGGAUACUUGCAUGUGUUCUUCAUAUCUGCUCAAGUCUUAGGAUUGUCCUUCAUCUUCCUCUUGACAUCCAUAACAAUGUAGAAAAUAUUAUUGAAUACAUUCUUCUCGAUAUGCAUGACGUCAAAGUUAUGACGGAUUAAAUUGGUGGACCAGUAGGGUAAUUCUCAGAAGAUGCUUUACUUCACCUAGUUAUAAGUUGUACCAAACCCCUGAGGCUUCUGCUUAUCAAAUUCAAUACCAAAC